GUAACUGACCGGAGGGAGCUACUGAAGCGAAGCCUGCCUGGCAGUUAAGCAAGCUGGUUACUUGUUACAUAAAGACUCUGGACUUACGCCUUUAAUGCAACUGGGUUUUUCCUCUGCACAGUCACCAUUUCCUCUCCCACAUCCCCUGCACACGGUAAACAAAGGAGGAUACUCUGCUGGUUCCUGCAGAAGGCGAAGCUCUGACGUGCCCAGAGCAGACAGGACCUCAGGUGACCCUGGUACCUUUGGAUAGAAGAAUCUCUCUGCCACCAGACAGUUCAGUCACCUCCUGAGUGUCCGGCACCCGGGGAAGGACUGAGGAAGUGAUGUGGGGUGCCUGAUUCUGUCACCUGUUCACUUGCAUUUGUGGCUGCGAUUCUCACCGACAGAAUAAGGAACCGAUGUGUGGAGUGAACAGCCCAGAGCAGUGCCCGGUCAAGUUCAAAGUUCAAAAUACGGACACCAGUGGCCCUUACACUGAGUGAGUGUAAUGAGAAGGUGGACGGCCGUGACCGCACAGAGCUCAUUCUAAAUCUGAUUCUGUCAAUGAACUUCAGAGGCACGAUCCCAAGGAAGGCUCUCCAUCUUACCAGGAUCACUGAUACGAUUUUGAAACGGGUCUCAACCACACAUCUUUAAUAGAAGAUGAAAAAACAACCCGAAGUUCAGGUUCAUUGAGUGCUCCUUGGAGCACAGUGGUCAGUCCUGGAGAAGGCAAAGCCCACUCUCACUCUACACCAGUUAGAGGUUCCAGUCCCUGGGAUAGCUCAGCACACGUUCCCGAAUUC